GUGGCUGUGAGGGCUGAUGGGAGCUUUGGAGGAGCAGGAGGCUGUGAGGGGUCACAGGGAAGGACUGUGAGGGGGGUGCAGGCCAAAAUUUAGGGAGUGUGAGGGGUGACAGGGACUGUGAGGAGUGAUGGGUGUCAGUGAGGGGCAAUGUGGGGCAGACAUGGUGGUUGUGGCAGUGUCGUGAUAAGAGUAUAGAAAUUUGGUGGUAAAGAAACCCCUUGUUAGCCAGCUGGUCAUUAGGGAUCAGAGAGGGUGAGGGUAGCUGGGCUUAAGCUCUUAUUAUAACUUGUUUGGUACUAUAAGUGGUUGUGUUCAAUAGGAAGUUCCAUGAGCACAGGUCCUCAAGCAGGGCAUGUUCAAUACUGAGUCUGGUAAUGUUCAAUAACAACUUUCACCAUCACAGGUUCAUGAAUAGUAUGGUUUAUUGAAGCGGCAGAAGUGUAAGGGGGAAUGGAAAGUGAGAAUAACUGUAAGACCGCUGUUAAGUCCUGAAGACAGACACAGCAGGCACUGUGCUGGGACAAUUGGUCAGUGGGGUCUUGGGCUGUGCUGUGCCUCUGCCUCUGCUGGUGGCCAGGCAGGGCAGUCCAGAGCCCCAAACUGGGAGAAGCAGUAAGCAGUCCUUGCAAUGUGCUUGCUUUAAGGCUUCCUUGUGACUGGAUAAUCUGUGGACAGCAAUGGACUCGUGUCAUGGAGCAUGAGAGCCACUUCCAGAAGCUGUGAUGAGAAAUCGUUUGUUUAUCCAAAUAUAAAUUGGAAUAAAAUACAUUAUUUUUUA